ensembl:snRNA U6 U6 spliceosomal RNA
GUGCUCGCUUCAGCAGCACAUAUACUAAAAUUGGAAUGACACAGAGAAAAUUAGUAUGUUCCCUGCGCAAGUAUGACAUGCAAAUUCGUGAAGCGUUCCAUAUUUAU